rnacentral:misc_RNA from 1 species
AUUGAUGUCCCUUACAUCCAGAAAGGCUAUGUUCUUCCUUGAUAUCUCUUUGUCUAUCACUGGCAUGAUUUCAUACUCUAUUUUGGCUUUCCAACUAAUCAGAUCUUGGCGAGACAAAAAUCUAUCGGGGGAAAAACAGAAGCCCUGAUCUUCUGAAACAUUUGGAGUGGAAGCAAACUUCUUAUCUGACAGCUUGCUAGGAAUAAUACCAGCCUCAGCUAGGGAUUGAAUGGUCGCAAAAUCAGGGUCUUCAACACCCAUAUCAUCAAAGGCAGCAAUUGUAGAGCCAGAAAGCACAACUGAUGGAACUAUCCGAUGCUUUCUACUCCUUUCUAGUUGUGUAUUUGCUUUAACUAACCAUCUUGCAUAUUCCCUCCUUGAACAUAGUUCAUCUGCUUUAACAUCAUCUUCAAUGAUCUUGAGUUUCUUCAACAUAAAAAGAGCUUCUUCUUGAGUAGAAUCUACAGCAAAGGGAAUUGUAAUUCGUCCCAGUACUCCUCUAGUUACUCCUUUAG